AGAGUUUGAUCAUGGCUCAGAACGAACGCUGGCGGCAUGCCUAACACAUGCAAGUCGAACGAACCCUUCGGGGUUAGUGGCGCACGGGUGCGUAACGCGUGGGAAUCUGCCCUUUGCUUCGGAAUAACAGUUAGAAAUGACUGCUAAUACCGGAUAAUGUCUUCGGACCAAAGAUUUAUCGGCAAAGGAUGAGCCCGCGUAGGAUUAGCUAGUUGGUGGGUAAAAGCUCACCAAGGCGACGAUCCUUAGCUGGUCUGAGAGGAUGAUCAGCCACACUGGGACUGAGACACGGCCCAGACUCCUACGGGAGGCAGCAGUGGGGAAUAUUGGACAAUGGGCGAAAGCCUGAUCCAGCAAUGCCGCGUGAGUGAUGAAGGCCUUAGGGUUGUAAAGCUCUUUACCAGGGAUGAUAAUGACAGUACCUGGAGAAUAAGCUCCGGCUAACUCCGUG
rnacentral:rRNA from 1 species